GAGAUUUAAAUAAAAAAUUCAAUAAAAAGUAGUAUUUUAUAAAUCAAAUCAAAACAAUUAAAGGGUAAAAUUUUUUUUGUGUAAGUUAUAUAUUUAUCCCUUCAUUUUCUAUAUAAGUUAUGAUACUUCAAGAAAAUAAAAAAAUUUUUAGAUCAUAUAUCAAUCUAAUUUUGUAAAUAUUCUUAUAUUAGUUAAUAAAAAGAAUCAUGGAAGUAGAAAAAAAGUAAACAUAUUAAAAGUUAUAUAAUAAAUAUUUAAGAGACAAAAAAAAUAUACAACCUAAUGCAAUCUAAUACAGCAAAUAUAAUACAGAAUUUUACUUUCGAAAAAAAAUAUAAAAAACAAAGGAUAGAAAAAGAAAAAGUAAUAAACAUUCAACACAACAAACACAUUAGUUCGAAUACCAUACAAAUAAAAAGAACUUGAAAAAACUUAAUAAAACUAUCUAAAAAAUUUCAACGCUACAACAUAAAGAAUAUAUAUAUACAUAUAUAUAUAUCUUUUAAAAGAACUUAUAAAAUUUGGAGGAAGGCUCGAUUUGGUGAAGAUGCAGCGCCAAGCUCGGCGAUACAGCGUGCAAACUCAUACUUCGUCUAUAGAACGUGCUCGAUUUUGGCCUCGGAGCUCAUGGAGGAGAAAGAGAAAGUAGGAAGGAGAGAAGGGAGCUUUUUGUGGAUUUUUAUGAUUUACAGUUUAGAUUAGGGUUAAGAUGAGUGGACCAUUAAUUAAACGUUAUGUGUGGAGGAAAUGCAAAAAGUUAGAUUAAGGUGGGUGGACCAUUAAUUAAACGCUAUGGAUGGAGGGAAUGAGAAGGGAAUGAGAAAGGUUGGGUUAAGGUGGGUGAACUAUUAAUUAGACGUAAUGGAUGGAGGGAAUAAGAAAGGUUGGGUUAAGAUGGGUGAACCAUUAAUUAGACGUUAUGGAUGAAGGGAAGGCGAAGGAUUGGCUUCGUAAUAUGAAGUCUAAAAGUAAAGAAAACACAGCCAUGUGGCACUUCUUGUAUAGGUAUAGAGGUAUAGAUAGAUAUAGAUAUAGAUGUUUGGUUGGAUAAUAUUUCAUUUCAAAUUUUAUGCGAGGUAAAAUGAGAAU
rnacentral:lncRNA from 1 species